CACCAGUUUAAAUUUUCCUACAGUGAUGUGAGCUUUAAGUAUGUGCAUAAUACAAACAUACAUACAUGCAUACUUAUUAUGGGUCAAUGCUGUAUUUGCCGGUUCAGUAAUCUUUGUGACCAAAAUAAAGAAAGAGAAAAACAAAAACCAUGCAGUUUUCUGUCAGAAGUAAUUUAUUUACCUAGAAUCAAUAUGCUUCACAAUAAUAUGUGCGGUCAAGCCAGGAUGAUUGAGAACGUUAGGGAGGACAUUUCCUGGUCCCAUCUGCUUCAUGCUAGAUUUGGUGUUCAUCUACAUGGGAGCGUCGUUUCGCAACUUCUGGAACUCUUUAACAGUUUCAGCUACUUGUGGCAUACUAACAUAGUCACAUACAUUUUCUUUUUGUCACAUUCAUAAAAUAAAAAAAAAACAGUUUGCAUAUCUAUUGCACUUAUA